rnacentral:rRNA from 1 species
UAGGCUGCAACUCGCCUACACGAAGCUGGAAUCGCUAGUAAUCGCGGAUCAGCACGCCGCGGUGAAUACGUUCCCGGGCCUUGUACACACCGCCCGUCACACCAUGAGAGUCUGUAACACCCAAAGCCGGUGGGAUAACCUUUAUAGGAGUCAGCCGUCUAAGGUAGGACAGAUGAUUAGGGUGAAGUCGUAACAAGGUACC